rnacentral:lncRNA from 1 species
UGGCUGCUAGUUGCUAGCUGGAAGGCACGAGUGGUCAGUGGGUGGUGGGGCAGCAGGCAUGCUGAAUAAAGCCAGCGUUUGAGAUGCCUUCUAGGUCAUUCCAGGAUGUGUUUAUGGUGAUUUUAUUUUUCCAAGUCAGACUGGGAUACAAGACCCACCAGUGGAUUUGUUACUGUCGAUUGAGAGGACUUAACAGGCAGGAAACAGAAGCAGCAGAGGAAAAGGCUGGGGUUGAGAAGUCCAGUAUUUUAUUCCAGGUCAAAUACUUUUCCAGGGCCUUUAUAAUGCAUCCCCCCUUGACUCCAUCCACAGACACUGGGCCCCCCCCCUCACCUUGCCCUGGAGGAGGGACUUGCACCAUCUAACCUCCCCUGACAGGUGUGGCAGUUUCUCAGCUGUCCGCUGUGCGUGGAAGAGCCCAGAAAAGAGCCUGGGUCUGGUCUCCUGGCUGCUACUCCCUGACCUUCCCUGGGACCGCCCGCUUUUCUUGUCCAUUAGAGUGCACGGUUUUUCCCAUCACAAAGCAUGAAAACGCGACGUGUGCUCAGUACUAAGCGGAGGAAGAAGACAACACACCCAUGACAAGUUGAUCCUCGGGACCCGUAGUCUCAUCGUGUCUCACCCAGAGGACAGCAGAGUGUGUAGGCGGUGGCUUGGUCGGUUGGCGAUCUCCCAACAGCUGGAUCUCCGGCAAUGUGAAGCUUUCAUUUGGGAUUUCCCCCCUCCUUUUAGUUUUGCUUCAUUUUUUUUUUAAUCUUAUUUUUUGUCCUUUUUUCCCUUUUUUUUUUUUUUUUUUUAAUUUAAGCGAUUAAGACUUCAGAAGAGCAAGAAACUAUUCUGUGGAGAAACAACACAGACAAAGCAUAUGUAUAAAUUCCAUUUUUAAUUUUUAUAAGGGGUUAGGGAGCUAUUUUGUUUUGUUCCUUUAUUUUCCCCCUGUCUUCUUGGUUUUUACCCAUUCCUCGGUUCUGUUUCCAAUCCCUCGCAUCCCCAGAGGAGGCCUGCCUCUCUAUGGAGACCGGGGGUCAGUCCUACCGUGGGGGUGUGAAGCCAGGAGGCAGCCUGUGGGCCUCCCCCCCCCACCCUAUCCCCCACCAGACGCGGGCACUGCCGGGCUGUUCCAUGCUCGCCCUCAGGCCUUAGAGAUGAUCAGAGGCGAAGAACCAUCUAGAAGAGGAAGACCGGGUUUGGCCAGGAGAACUCAAAGUCUAAACUGUGGGUUUGCUCUCUUUCCGGCUUCUGGAAGCUCUGGGCCACACCAGGACACGCAGUGGUGGACAUCCACUCCCUCUUCUGCCCCUUGGGCUGCUGUCUCUUCGAACAGAUGGGAAAAACAGUUCCCAAACUCGACCACAGCCCUCCCUGCCUGCAACCUCCCCUCAAGUCCCCAGUGA